GACGAACGCUGGCGGCGUGCUUAACACAUGCAAGUCGAACGGAAAGGCCCUGCUUUUGUGGGUUUCUCGAUUGGCGAACGGGUGAGUAACACGUGAGUAACCUGCCCUUGUCUUUGUGAUAACUUCAGGAAACUGGGGCUAAUACCGCAUAUGAUCUCCUGCUGCGUGGUGUGGGUUGGAAAGUUUCGGCGGUUGGGGAUGGACUCGCGGCUUAUCCGCUUGUUGGUCGGGUAGUUGCUUACCAAGGCUUUGACGGGUAGCCGGCCUGAGAGGGUGACCGGGCACAUUGGGACUGAGAUACGGAGCAGACUCCUACGGGAGGCAGCAGUGGGGAAUCUGGCACAAUGGGCGGAAGCCUGAUGCAGCAACGCCGCGUGCGGGAUGACGGCCUUCGGGUUGUAAACAGCUUUCGACUGUGACGAAGCGUGAGUGACGGUAAUGGGUAAAGAAGCACCGGCUAACUACGUG
rnacentral:rRNA from 1 species